UGUAUAGAAUAGUCCAGUGCAGUAGGAAGAAAAAUGGAAGAAAAAUUUAAUAGAAUCUUUGCAAUAUUCAUAUUUUCUACAGUUUCACUCGUUGCCAUUGUUACUGUGCAUCUUUAUAUUGCAUACAUUUGUCUUUAUUUUUACCGCUGUUUGUAUGUUUUUGCAGCAUCUCCUUUGUUGCUGUAACCCUACACGUUUCUCCACUGUGGAAUUAAUACAGGAUUAUGUUAUCCUGGAGCAUUUCAAAAGUACACACAUUAAUAAUUAUGAAGCAUUUAUUGUUAUUUAUGUUAAAAUAUCCUGAAGUCAAAGUAUGAGUGGUUUUCCCAUGGGAAACUUUUCAAAAAUUAGAUUGACAUUGAGAAGAGUCAAGUCAAAUUUAUAUUUUAAAAUUUGAUAUAUUUUUAAUCAAGGCCAGAAACCUACUUUGCUUCAGAGCUGAAUGAAAUGAUCAUGGGAGGUAGAUAGGACACAAAACGCAAUAGAAAACGAUAAAUGUUGAUGAAUAAUAAGCUCAUCAAUAAAAUAAAACCCAGAGACUGGACUAAAACACAGAAACAAUGAUGUAAUUCUUAUACAUGACAAUGAAAUUAUUAAAAAUGUCCCAGAAAGCAGGGAGUUUUUUAUGAAAGAAAUGUUAGACAUUGUUUAUGAGAGAAAACAGACUGAAAGCAAACUAAAGUGGAAUAUUAACCUUAUUAGACCUCAGCAGAACAAUAAAAAAUCACUGAGUAACAUGCUUUAUUAAAUAUUUACUCAGUCAGAAACAGAUUUUAAAGUCCGUGAAAAAACGCAGAGCAUUGUAAAGUACACGGUGAGUCCUCACAAUCACUAAUUAGACAGUCCAGCCUUUGUCUAACAGCAAGAUGUUAAUUAUUGGAACUUGAACUGUGGAUAGUUGCAGACUAAGAAGACAAAGAGGUUCAGUGGUCAGAGGAGUUUUUCCCUCUGCUUGAUCUGGAAUAGAGAACUGAGCUGGAACUAAAUGAAUUUAAUGCAACUCAUUCCUUGUCUCAGUAAAGGAAGUAAAGGAGUAGCAGUACACUCAGCAUUACAUAACCAGAGCAAACAUCUUUAUCUGGUGUCCACAUUAAACAUCGCAGGUGCAAAACAAGUGUCUUAUUAAUAGAUCAAAUCUUCUGCUUGAGUUCAGGUGGAUGUAAAACCAGUGUGUUCAGCCUGAGAGAUAGUUUGUGUUAAAUCUGAAGUCCUUGGCCUUCCACCUUGUGCUCCACACAGCUAAUUGAUGACUGAGGUGAUAAUGAUUCUACAGCAUCCUGUUCAUCUAAUGGUUUCUCUCCACCACCAGUUUAAAAAGCUGUGGAAACCCAGCAGAACUUCAUUUCCCUAAAUCACACUUUCAGACACACAGCGCUGUGGGCAGCAGUGGAAAAUCAACCUGUGUGUGUGUGUGUGUGUGUGUGUGUGUGUGUGUGUGUGUGUGUGUGUGUGUGUGUGUGUGUGUGUGUGUGUCUGUGUGUGUGUGUGUGUGUGUGUGUGUGUGUGUGUGUGUGUGUGUGUGUGUGUGUGUGUGUGUGUGUGUGUGUGUCUGUGUGUGUGUGUCUGUGUGUGUGUGUGUGUGUGUGUGUGUGUGUGUGUGUGUGUGUGUGUGUGUGUGUGUGUGUGUGUGUGUGUGUGUGUGUGUGUGUGUGUGUAAAAGUAUCCCGACAUGCUGCAGCUCUGAGGCCCCUGAUCAGUCGCUGGCGUUCAGAGUUUCCACUGGCCAGGAUUCCAGAAACCACCCGGGGCAUCAGGAGCACAUCUGUAACGUUUAGGAUGAACAUUUGGUGCUGGGGUUCAGCUGAUGACACCAUGCAGCUGCCCAGAUGUUGUGGUGUUAUUGUGUUGUGUAAUAUUUGAGAAAAGGCUCAUUUUUGUUCUGACUUUGGUCCCUUCAGAGGGUCCAACCCGGCCCGCGGGACGAAUUGUAAAUUAGUAAAAUUAUAAUUUUACUAUAAUUUCUAGACCUCGACAAGUUGUUUUGAUCAUAAAGUAAAAUACUAGAUUGCUUAUUGUGCUUUUGUCAUUUUGUGUCUCAUUUUUGUAAUAUUUUGUCAUGUUUUUGUUUUUUUGUCUAACUUUCAUCUCAUGUUUUUGUUGUUUUGUUUCUUGUUUUUGUCGUUUUGUGUUUCCUUUUUGUCUCGCUUGUGUUGUUCAUCUCAUUUGUGUCAUUUUGUGUUUUGCUUUAUUUAUUGUUUUCUGUAUCGCUUUUGUCGUUUUGUGUUUUUUGUCUUGCUUGUAUUGUCUGUUUUUUGUUGCUUUGUAACUUUUUUGUCAAAUUUUGUGUCUAUUUUUGUUUUAUUUUCUGUCAUUUGUCUCAUUUUUUGUCGUUUUGUUUCUCGCUUUUUGCAUUUUUGUGUCAUUUAUCCAUUUUUUUGUUGCUUUGUAACUGUUUUCAAUUUUUUGUCUCUCUUUUUUUCUUUUGUGUCAUUAAAAAUUAGGAGUUGCGGUUUUUUAUAGGUUAUUAGGCCCACUUCAGAUCAAACUGGGAUGUUUGUGGCCCCUGAACUAAGAUGAAUUUGACUCCCCUGCUUAAUGCAUCUACCUCCGCUCCACUGGCAGAUCCUGACCUGUAGGGGGCUCUGUUUGCUUUGCUAUGACUUCAUCCACAGGCUUUAGUAAGGCCUGAGGAGGAGGAGGAAGGGUCUGUAGAUGGAUGAGUCACCUUCUGAAUGGGGUGGAACAAGGAGGUUGUGAUUGUAAAGCUCUUAAGACGAGAGGGGAGUUUCUCUCAUUGAGUCCAGAUUGGUGCGUUUGGUCCUGUGAGGGCUCUUUACCAGGACUCUUCCUCCGGCAGAAAAUAAGAUGAGUUUGGUUAUUAAAUCAAGUGCCACUCUUUAUUAUUUAUUUAUAAAUGGUGAUAUUUAAGGAACUUUUUGCCAUUGGAGGAUUGGAUGUAAUCACUGUUCCCUCUAAACUGCGCGCGUGCGCAAUUGCGCACUGCUGACACGGUCUCCGCGCACAGAAAAUCUGCGCUGCGCACAAAAAAAAAAAAAAUCCAACCUAAAUUGUAAAUAAAAUAAACACGUAACAAUUCAUUCUGUGCUAUUUUUCAAUGUGAGUCAGUGAGUGACCGGUGACUGGCUGCUGCAGCCAAUGAUGCGAUUCACAUACGUAUUUACCAUAGACUGUAUAUAAUGGUAUUUACGCUGCUAAUCAACGUCAGGCGUCCUUAUGUGCAGCCACCAUUGUUCUCAUAGAUAUGAAUGAGUAGAUAGGACACGCCCCUUUGAGCUGCGUGCUACAGCGAGGCUAAGCUAGUGGGGGCAAAGUUUCAGUGCGUUCUGUUGAUGUAGACGGCGUGAAAACGGAAACAAGUAUGCCGUCUCACUGUACUGCAUACAAUUACACACUGCGUCGUAGGAUUGAGACAAGGAAACGUGGAAUGACUUUUCAUAGGUAAGAAUAGUUUUUGGCUCUUUUUUCAUUAUGAAAUCUUGUUGAGAGCUUCCAGUCUAUGAGAGCUAACUAGUUAGCCACUAGCAAAACGCUAAGGCGAGCUAGCAGCUUGACAACCAAAUACCAGACGAUUAAUAGUAGCUGUAGUAUAGUUGUACAAGCAGUAGUAGUAAUACUAAAAGUACAAGCAGCAGUAGUAGUAUAAAAUAGCUGUUAGAGUCGUAGAAGUAGUAUCAGCAUUUGUAAUAGUAUUACAAGUUGUAGUAGCAGUGCCAGUAUCAGCAGCAGCAGUAGUGUACUAUCACUACUACUAGUAGUAGUCACAUUGCUAUUACUACCACCAAUACUACCAAUAGUAGUUAUAAAACCUAACUCAUGUAUAUCCAGAUUACCAUCUAUGUUCUUCCUCCAAACCCAUUUUAUGAUUGGGAUUACAGGCAGUUCUUUAGGACUGCUCUCAAAUAAUUGAAAUGUUCCUAAACAAGGUUAUACUUAUCAAAUUAAAUAACUCUGGUCUCCAGUAUAUUGGCAAAUUCAGUUAUUUGUACUUAAUUUAUUAGCAUGAUUUCUUUUUAAUAUGUUGUGUACAGACUUAAUUACUUGUCUGUCUACUUUUCUUACUCCAUGUAGGUUUCCCAGAGACUAUGGGUUGAGGAGGAAUUGGAAGUUUGUCGGCUUAGACCUGGUGUCAUUCCAUCAGUGUUUAACUUCCCAGCUCAUCUUGGAAGAGUACGUGCCAGAAAGACCACAACCAAGCAGCCUUGAGAUCUUAGACAGCGUCUCCCUCAGGUCCCUCUCUAUCUCCCCACACAUCCACCAACCACUGGAACACAUCUCCAAAGUUCUGCUGGACCAGCUCAGCUUCCCCUCAGAAGAAGUGCUGCCACCUGCCAGAUGAAGGAGCCUUUUGAGAGGCAGCUGGCAUCGUGAUUGGACUGUACUUUGGUCUGUUCCAAUCCAGCUUCAGCUCCAGAGACGGCAGGCGGGACGAGUCAACGGAGGCCUGGUGGACGAAGACAUGCAGCUGAGUACAAUCCAGAAAACAACAGAGGAGGAGUGCAGCAGCCCAGAGCCAGAACAACCAGAGUAGCAUCGUAUGUCUCUUAGAAAACAUCAUAGUAUAGCCUUUGGUAUGAAAAAACGCCAUCAUAUACAUCGUAUAUUGUACAAAUAACAAGUCAAAGCAAAGAGACAUACAUUGUAGAAUUGUAGUAAUUGUGGGCUGAUUGAUUUACUGAUUAUCAGUAUCUUAUUUUUUACUGAUUUACGGUAAUAAAUACAUUUUAAAAUGGU